CUGUGUGAGACAUAGCUGCAACUUCUGUUCUUUGUUCUUGAUUCAGACUACCCUGCUGACUGUCAUCUGUGCCAGAGACCUCAAGAUGGGACUCGUGGUUAAGGCUACACUGCGGGGCCAACUCUGGGAACUCUGUGAAGAGCCAGUGACGGUCCUUGAAGAAACGAUUCUCAUGAAUUGUGUAAAAAUCAUUCCAGUACUCAUUUGCCCGGCUGUCGAAUUCCUCUGCAAAAGAAGCUUCCAGAUGAGAAGGCCAACAAGGCCCAGUAGCAGAAUGGCUCCAACCACCGCCAAGAGCACCACCAAGAUGUCUGGACCCUGAGGACACUCUGAAAGACGAGACAGGAAGAGUGGCAGAGAGGAACUGAUUUCCAACGUUGGUUUCCAUGAUGUUUGUAAAACAGUGGAGCAUACAGUCAGCGUCAGACACUCCAACGUGAUUCAGUACAUCAACACCACCAUGUGUCUGAGUUUCUGUGGUGUGGCAGAUAGCUGGGGUUCACUGGCUGAUGAUGUGUUUUUCACACUAUUCUGUCCUAAUGUACCUAAAUUACAAUGCUCUGGCAGUUGAAACGUCUCAUGCAUACACACACGAUCUUACAGUACCUGGCUCUUUUACCACAAGCAGAAUGGAUUUGCCACUUUCAUCUUCGUAAUACUGGAAGUGCUCCACGCAGUCAUUUUCAUCUUUGUAAGAGCAAUUCACUGCAUUCCCAUCUUUGUCAUGUAAAACUGGGGGAUAAAGAUGGAUAUUUUGGGAGUCAUAAUGAAUGUUUCAAGGAUCCAGGAACAGGAAAACAACAGUAAUCAUUAUCACAACACUCAAGAUCACUCUAUAUAGUAAGGACGUUAAAGAUGGAAGCGUUCUUACCCAGUUUAUCCACUAGUUUUAUUUCAUCUUUGCAGAUUCUACUGCAGCUGUUGUCUUCAGUGUACCGUCCUCUCUUGAAGUGCCGACACUCAACACACUCCCUGCAAGCAGAGUCCCAUACAGUUUCCUUUACACAAUACAUAGCGUGUAUACUAUUGAUUGACUAAAAAUUGUGGUGACCUGUUGACCUUUUAUAUGAUGGUGAUCACAUCACUCUCAAGCCUAAAUAUCAACUUUGGAUAAAAAGUUGACACAGGAAAUAAAAACCCAUGGCCUUUCCUAUUACGCUGCCAUCAGGACGAACUUACCGUUUUAAGCCCUACAACUGCUAAGGCUUUAAAAUGUUAGUUCUGUCUAAAACAUGAAUGUUGCAGAGUCUAGGAGAUGAGACUUAAUUCACAUUA